GCGGUGGAGCAUGUGGUUAAUUCGAUGCAACGCGAAGAACCUUACCUGGGCUUGACAUCCCAAGAAUCCCCUGGAAACAGGGGAGUGCCCUUCGGGGAGCUUGGAGACAGGUGCUGCAUGGCUGUCGUCAGCUCGUGUCGUGAGAUGUUGGGUUAAGUCCGCUAACGAGCGCAACCCUCACUGUGUGUUAUAUGUGUCACACGGGACCGCCGGUCUUAAGCCGGAGGAAGGUGGGAUGACGUCAAGUCAGCAUGGCCUUUAUAUCCUGGGCUACACACACGCUACAAUGGCCAACACAAUAGGUUGCUAAGCCGCGAGGUGGAGCCAAUCCAUAAAGUUGGUCUCAGUUCAGAUUGUAGGCUGCAACCCGCCUGCAUGAAGAUGGAGUUGCUAGUAACCGCAGGUCAGCUAUACUGCGGUGAAUACGUUCCCGGGGCUU
rnacentral:rRNA from 1 species